rnacentral:lncRNA from 1 species
GUGAUCCCCCGUCGGAAACCAGCUCCCCCGGAAGUGCAGGCCGGGCGGGCCGCCGCUGUCCCCCUUGCAGGCGUCCUUGCUGCCGUCGGUGUGGCCGGCGCAGAACAUGUUGUCCGUGACCGCAGGCCCGCUGGGCCUCUGGCGUGACUGCUGCAGGCAGUCCUGGGUCAGCAGCCGGGGCACGAGCACCACCAUGAGCGUGAGGGCGGUGACACAGAGCGCGAGCUGCAAUGAGGCCCGCGGCCAGAGCUGCCUUCCGGGGACCCUGAGGCGAGCUUGUGGGUGGAGGGACCCAGGGGUGCACCUUCCGGGGACUCCGAGCCGAGGGCACGGGCGGAGGGGCCCAGGGGUGGAAGGGGAGCCCCGCGGGAGGGUGGGAAGGGCUGAAGACGACGCAGCGGCGGCGGCGUGCUGUGUCCUGGGCCCCGUGUGCAGCAAGCGCAGUGCACGUGAGAACCAGAAUGUAUCCAUCUUUUCGUUUGAGGCCAAUUUAAAAUGAUUUUGUCAAUUGGAAAGAAAAAAAAAGCUCCAAGUUUCGGGGCCCAUGAAAAGACCUCCAGACUUUUAGUGUCUGGCGGGGAGCCCUCUAACGGCCCUCCUGCAGCUUCUGCGCCUGUUUCUCCUGUGUAUGCACUGCCCGGGCGCCCCGCGGGCUUUGAGACCUCCCUCCAGACGCUCUGAACCUGCCUGCGCAUUCCAAUCACCCAGAGGGAAGUGAAAGCCUGACAGGGAAAGGUGGGAGAGGAUGGGCUCGCGGGAGGAGCUGGGCUAGAAGGCAAAGGACACUCGGGCCCCCAAGACGGGCCUCCAUCAGAAGCGCGGGCUUCUUCCUUCCCAAAGAAAAGGCCCCGAAAAGAGCUCUGGCCGCACGGAUGACAGACACACCAGCAUCGGGGACAGAGAGCGACGGGGGGAGGAUGCUCCCUGGUGAUGAAGGAGGCAGACGCCCUCCCAAGACGCCCACACUGAUGAGCAUGGCACUGCGGGUGAUGACGGGCAACCGCCCCGAGGCCGUGGGCUGGCGCGCGCCUUUACCUUUCUGGGCUUUGAGGGCAGCAAAGCUCUGCAGGGUGAAGCGCUUUUUAGAAAGGGCAGAGCUUUCUGAGGUGGAGCUAGUGACCACAUCAUCUGCGGGGAGAGAGGGUGGUGCAGGAGGCGCUGGGCGGCUCACACCCGGGACCCCCCACCCCCCAGGAAGGCAGGGAGGAGUGUGCCUGGGGCUUCGAACAGCUCCGGCCUGGCCCUCGGCCAGGGUGGGCCAGGUCAGCUCCCCAAGUGUCCGGUCCAGCAAGAGUGACGUCUCCGUGGCGACCUGUGGUCUGACCCGUGGCUCUGGGGUUAGCCCUCCGGGAUGCUGGAGGCCUAGAGCCACCGGGGCUGAGUAUGCUCUCACAGCCCAGCCCGGGCAUUUUUAA